CCUACGGGAGGCAGCAGUAAGGAAUAUUGGUCAAUGGACGCAAGUCUGAACCAGCCAUGCCGCGUGAAGGAUUAAGGCCCUCUGGGUUGUAAACUUCUUUUAUAGGGGACGAAAAAAGGGCAUUCUUGCUCACUUGACGGUACCCUAGGAAUAAGCACCGGCUAACUCCGUGCCAGCAGCCGCGGUAAUACGGAGGGUGCAAGCGUUAUCCGGAUUUACUGGGUUUAAAGGGUGCGUAGGUGGGUUGGUAAGUCAGUGGUGAAAUCUUCGAGCUUAACUCGGAAACUGCCAUUGAUACUAUCAAUCUUGAAUCAUCUAGAGGUAAGCGGAAUAUGUCAUGUAGCGGUGAAAUGCUUAGAUAUGACAUAGAACACCAAUUGCGAAGGCAGCUUACUAUGGAUGCAUUGACACUGAGGCACGAAAGCGUGGGGAUCAAACAGGAUUAAGAUACCCUGGUAGUCCACGCCCUAAACGAUGGAUACUCGACAUUUGUGAUAUACAAUAAGUGUCUGAGCGAAAGCAUUAAGUAUCCCACCUGGGAAGUACGACCGCAAGGUUGAAACUUCAAAGUUGAGUUAGAGCGNGAGAGAGCGACGACGACGACGAGGAGGAGGAG
rnacentral:rRNA from 1 species